GGAGAAGGGGCCUGAGAAAUGGCCACUACGUCUAAGGAUGGCAGCAGGCGCGCAAAUUACCCACUCUCGGCUCGAGGAGGUAGUGACGAGAAAUAACGAGACUGUUCUCUUUGAGGCCGGUCAUCGGAAUGGGUACAAUUUAAACCCUUUAACGAGUAUCAAGCAGAGGGCAAGUCUGGUGCCAGCAGCCGCGGUAAUUCCAGCUCUGCUAAUACAUAGAAUUAUUGCUGCGGUUAAAAAGCUCGUAGUUGGAUUCGUAUCGGUACCCUGGAACCCUYCGGGUGUUUCUGGGUGUUAUCGAUUUAUCGUAAUGUUCGGUUUUGAGUCCUUAACAGGAUUCUUAACAGGCAUUGCAAGUUUACUUUGAACAAAUCAGAGUGCUUCAAACAGGCGUUUUCGCUUGAAUGAUCGUGCAUGGAAUAAUAGAAAACGAUUUCGGUUCAGUUUUAUUGGUUUUACGGACUGAGAUAAUGGUUAACAGAGACAAACGGGGGCAUUUGUAUGGCCCCGUGAGAGGUGAAAUUCUUGGACCGUGGCCAGACAAACUACAGCGAAAGCAUUUGCCAAGAAUGUUUUUAUUAAUCAAGAACGAAAGUCAGAGGUUCGAAGGCGAUCAGAUACCGCCCUA
rnacentral:rRNA from 1 species